rnacentral:rRNA from 1 species
GUGCCAGCAGCCGCGGUAAUACGGAGGGGGCAAGCGUUAUUCGGAAUUAUUGGGCGUAAAGGGCGCGUAGGCGGCUAGAUGUGUCAAAGGUGAAAUCCCUCGGCUCAACUGAGGAACUGCCUUUGAAACUGUCUGGCUUGAGGCCGGGAGAGGGUAGCGGAAUUCCCAGUGUAGCGGUGAAAUGCGUAGAUAUUGGGAGGAACACCAGUGGCGAAGGCGGCUACCUGGACCGGUUCUGACGCUGAGGCGCGAAAGCGUGGGUAGCAAACAGGAUUAGAUACCCUUGUAGUCC